UACAGAGGUCUCAAGCGUUGUUCGGAUUCAUUGGGCGUAAAGGGUGCGUAGGCGGCGCGGUAAGUCGGGUGUGAAAUCUCGGGGCUUAACUCCGAAACUGCAUUCGAUACUGCCGUGCUUGAGGACUGGAGAGGAGACUGGAAUUUACGGUGUAGCGGUGAAAUGCGUAGAUAUCAGGAGGAAUACCGAUGGCGAAGGCAGGUCUCUGGGCUAUAACUGACGCUCAUGCACGAAAGCGUGGGGAGCAAACAGG
rnacentral:rRNA from 1 species